GUAUUUUGAUUUUGUAUCCUUCGUCGGUAGACAGAACUCCAGGGAAGAUGACGCUGGCAAAUAACUCAGAGGCACUACUUUGUAUUCCAGCUGCGGAUGGAUAUGGUGUUUACUAUCAGAUUCAGUUUCAUCAACAGCAGUUGGAGGGUGAAACCCAUGAAGCUGCUCAUCAGCUUCAUCAGAGCAGCUCAGGUUUCCCCAGCACAUUGCCAAGACCGGCCUCAGAACGGACAUCAUCCUGGUGUCAGGGACAUCAAGGAACAUCAUCAUGCUGGAGCUAACGAGAGCAUGGGAAGACAUGGAGGAGGCCUUUGAGAUAAAAAAGGAGAGGUAUGAAGCACUAGUUUGCAGCUGCCACAGACACGGCUGGAGGGCUUGGUGUUUGCUUGUACAGAUGAAGGCCAUCCACUGCAAACAUCCAUGAUCCCCAGCUGAUCAGGAAGGAUGAUCCUUCAAAAAAUACAGACCAAUGACUAUAGCCCGUGUUUCUUGCAAAGUGCUGUGCAUCUUUUAACCCUUGAGUUGUCUUCAUUUUAUGUAGACAACACAAGGACCCUUUGUGAUAAACCCUUUUAAUGUUGAAACAACCUGUCACUCAUUAACAAAUUGGUGAAUAACUGUUGUCCUAUUUCACAGUCCUGAGAGACUGUAGGUCUCUGUGGAGGUCUAGCUGAACGGUCAUACUGUUAACUUUAUUUGUAUUAUUUUUAUGAUAUUUUGUUUGCAUAGUCCUAUGUGUGUGUGAUGUUGUCUUUUUUGUACAUUAGACUGCAGUGCUUGUUUCACAUAUUGGUUUGUCUUUGCUUUACAUCACGAUGCACCAUGUUUCUAACAUGACUAAUAAAGGAAUCUGAUAGACAAUGAGAUGGCAAACCAUGAUGGCUCACAUAUGGAGCCACAGAUUUUAGAUUUUAGAUUUAGAUUUGAUUUUAUGUAAAAUAACAGAACAUCUUCUCUCAAUCAAUCUCACAAAGUGGGUAAAGGCCUCUGAUCACAUAACAAUUUAUAUAUAUUUCAAAGUAGCACACCCUAUUGUAUUGUAUUUAUUAUUUUUGUGUGCUGAGUUCUUAUAUGCACUAUGUCUGUUUUUCUGUAGAAUGCAUUAGUCCAGUCUAAAUGUGUGUGGGUGUUGAGCCUCCUCUCUUUGGUGACCCUCUGCUCCUGGCCUCAGUAGCAUCCUUACUGCUGCCUAGCAACAGUAUGUAGCUACGGCAACAAAACCAACAACCCCCUCCCAUCUACCUCCAAAACCCAUGCCCCCACAAUCAGAACCUAAGUGUAGCAAUCAAGAAGAGGGAUGGAAUCCAGUAAGUGGUAAUACCAAACAGAGGGAGGCAAAUGUUAAAACCAUCAAAGUGAAUUAACAUUGACAAUCAGUGUAAUAACCUCACCAUGUUGCUCAAACCACUGAGGUAGAGAACACUCUCUAAAGUUUUUCCUAGCAAUUACAUUCUAUAAUGCUGUGUCCCAGCAUUUUAAGGCUGAAAUACUGAACAUGCAGCAUCCCUUUAUUCAAUACCAAACUGCCUAAUGCAUAGCAGCCAAGAAUUCUAUAAGCAAAAUCAUGUAUUGAACACAAAGGAAUUUGUUAUGCCGCUGUCUGCGAGACACAGCACUACCGACUGUAUAUCCCUGGUAAGUGCCUUCCAGAGAAAAUUUAAUGACUGAGCACACUACAGCUUUAAGUCCUGAGUACAAACAUAUCCACUGUUGUAGCCUACAUCUGCUUACCACAUGUGGGAAAGACUAUGACAAUUACUGAAGACAAUGAAGUCCAUGGCUUGCGGUAAUAUGUGUCAGUGGCUGUACUUGAGACUGGUCUUCAGCCAAGGUAAUAAUUCUGACCUUGGUUAAAGUCCAGUCUCAGAAUUCUGGCAAUUAAUACUUGUAUAAUGAUUGUAGAAGCAGGAGGUCGCAUUUUCUUAAUAGGCCAACAGCAUGCAUCACAUUUUCACCUGAUUAAAUAUUUUUACAGACUGAAUAUUGUUAAAUCUCACUCCAGAUUUCCAAGCCUUUUUGAAUGGAUCCAUACAUGGAGUAUACAAUAGAGAUAUUAUGGAAAUCAGACGGAUGCUGUAUGUGAAAAUUAAGUUGGUAGAUCUGUUAUGAUUCUAUGGUUUUUUAUUAAUUUUGUAGGCAUCUAAUUUAUCACUUGCAAUGCAGUGUUUAGAAUUAGUAUGAAUACAUAGAAGGAUCUUUUGUUUUGUGCUUGCACUACCAGGUUGCCUAUUGACAAAGCAUGGAAAAUGUCUAGCAAAAUUGAUGUUCACAAUUAUUGGUUGCAAUAUGUGCAAUGGACAGUA